UGAUCAAAGACCUACGUCCUCGCAAAGCUC
rnacentral:sRNA from 1 species